rnacentral:rRNA from 1 species
UACGGAGGGUGCAAGCGUUAUCCGGAUUCACUGGGUUUAAAGGGAGCGUAGGUGGGCAGGUAAGUCAGUGGUGAAAUCUCCGGGCUCAACCCGGAAACUGCCAUUGAUACUAUUUGUCUUGAAUUAUCUGGAGGUAAGCGGAAUAUGUCAUGUAGCGGUGAAAUGCUUAGAUAUGACAUAGAACACCCAUUGCGAAGGCAGCUUACUACGGAUAUAUUGACACUGAGGCUCGAAAGCGUGGGGAGCAAACAGG